AGCUUUGCACAGUGGCAAUAUUAUAGCUAAUGAAGUUUAUCCGAGGCACAGUUAUUGCUAAUUAAAUGUUUGGUAGAAUUCCCUCUGAAGCCAUCUGGUCCUGGACUUUUGUUUGUUAGGAGGGGGUUUUUUUGUUUGUUUUUUAUUA